AGACAGUUCGGUCCCUAUCUGUUGCGAGCGUUAGAAAUUUGAAGGGAUCUGACCUUAGUACGAGAGGACCGGGUCGGACGUACCUCUGGUGUAUCUGUUGUGGCGCCAGCUGCACCGCAGAGUAGCUAUGUACGGACAAGAUAAGCGCUGAAAGCAUCUAAGCGCGAAACUUACCCUAAGAUGAGAUUUCUUUAUAAGGGUCGUCAAAGAUGAUGACGUUGAUAGGUUACAAGUGUAAAGGCAGUAAUGUCAAAGCUGAGCAAUACUAAUUGCC
rnacentral:rRNA from 12 species